UNUUGCACAAUGGGCGAAAGCCUGNUGCAGCGACGCCGCGUGGGGGAUGAAGCUUCUCGGAGUGUAAACCCCUUUCGACCCGGACGAAUGCCCCGCAAGGGGACUGACGGUACGGGUAUAAGAAGCCCCGGCUAACUACGUGCCAGCAGCCGCGGUAAGACGUAGGGGGCCAGCGUUGCUCGGAAUUACNUGGGUGUAAAGGGUUCGUAGGCGGUGUGGCAAGUCGGGAGUGAAAUCUCUGGGCUCAACCCAGAGUCUGCUUCCGAAACUGCUGUGCUUGAGUGUGGGAGAGGCGCGUGGAAUUGCAGGUGUAGCGGUGAAAUGCGUAGAUAUCUGCAGGAACACCCGUGGCGAAAGCGGCGCGCUGGACCACUACUGACGCUGAGGAACGAAAGCUAGGGGAGCAAACAGGAUUAGAUACCCUGGUAGUCCUAGCCCUAAACGAUCAGGACUUGGGGUGCCACCCGUUCGGGUGUCGUCCCGGAGCUAACGCGUUAAGUCCUGCACCUGGGGAGUACGGUCGCAAGACUGAAACUCAAAGAAAUUGACGGA
rnacentral:rRNA from 1 species